CAGGAGAAAAAAAAGAAAACAAAUCACCGUAGGGAUUUUUCGAGUUUCUAUGAGAAAGAUUAGCUACCAAAUAAUUCCACAAAAAGCUCAUAUCAAGCAUUCACUAAGACUCUUCAUACGAUUAAAGUGUAAGCAAUUGACUUCCGUAUAUAUCUCCGUGUUAACUUAAAGCUGUACCAACAUUACUCGAUCAUUUAUUUGAGAUCAAUUCACACAUCUUAUUUAUUUUCCAAAAUAGCAGGACUUGGAAAAAUGGUUUAGAAGAACUAAGCGAGUAAAAAUAAUUAAGUCCUGAGCUCGAGUUGUUAUCCUUUGCAAAGAGAAAAACAAAAGACACUAGGCUGUUAAAAACGAAAUAAAACACAAGCACCCAAAAUCCCAGACUCGCUCCGAACCCGUCAAUAGCCAACAACUCAUGCAACCAAGCUAUAUAGGACAUCUUUGAACAUGCAGAACAAGACAACUCCGGGAGAUGUUUUGUCACACAUAGCACAAUCAUUAAUAAGGCAAUACAAGAAUGAAAGCGAGUCCUGCCAUUUAUUCUUAUUAAGUUUCACACGAAAAAAAUUGAAUGGGAACUAUAUGCAUGUCUAGAUAUCUGUAGAUACCAAUCAAGCCACCGACACUGCUGGCAUCAAACAGCAGAAUAUUCAAUGAGCCAAUCACCCAAGAAUGCCUCGAUUAUGGAAGGCAUCAGGGAGUGCUCAAAGACCACCCAGCCUAUACAUCACCCAAGAAAUCGCCAAAGAUGCAUAUUUUGCAUCAAAAUAAUGUUACAGUUGAUAAAGCAUGCAGUCGAGUACCUCCUUAGGCCCCCUUAAUCUACUGGUUUUACUGCAUAAGUCCUCACCUUUUGAUAAACAAAAAAAAAGGAAAGAGAAGAUAGUUAGCUAAAGCAAAAACAUUGGAACAUUGAGAUGCUUCUAUACUAUCUAAUCAAAUUGUACCACAAAAUUAGUCUUUUAUAAAAGGAGAGAUCAAGAACCUCACUGAAACUUUUGAUGAACAGAGAAGAAAGAUAUUGGUAUAUGCCUGCACCAACAUACUAAAUAUCUAUGAUGCCCCUUUGCUGGUGCGGAACCUGCUGGAGGUUACCAUUUCCUCUUGGUCAGCUGUUAUAAACCUUAUGC
rnacentral:lncRNA from 1 species